CAGUCGCCGCGGGAAUACGAAGGGUGCAAGCGUUAAUCGGAAUUACUGGGCGUAAAGCGUGCGUAGGCGGUGAGUUAAGUCUGCUGUGAAAUCCCCGGGCUCAACCUGGGAAUGGCGAUGGAUACUGGCUGGCUAGAGUGUGUCAGAGGAUGGUGGAAUUUCCGGUGUAGUGGUGAAAUGCGUAGAGAUCGGAAGGAACAUCAGUGGCGAAGGCGGCCAUCUGGGACAACACUGACGCUGAAGCACGAAAGCGUGGGAAGCAAACAGGAUUAGAUACCCGAGUAGUCCCUGUCUCUUAUAC
rnacentral:rRNA from 1 species